rnacentral:rRNA from 1 species
GACGAACGCUGGCGGCGUGCUUAACACAUGCAAGUCGAACGGGAAGGCCCUGCUUUUGUGGGGUGCUCGAGUGGCGAACGGGUGAGUAACACGUGAGUAUACUGCCCUUGAAUUUGGGAUAACUUCAGGAAACUGCGGCUCAUACCCGAUAGGAGCUCUUGCUGCAUGGUGGUGGUUGGUAAGAUUCGGCGGUUGGGGAUGGACUAGCGGCUUAACAGCUUGUUGGUGGGGUAGUGGCAUACCAAGGCUUUGACGGGUAGCCGGCCUGAGAGGGUGGCCGGGCACAAUGGUCCUGCGAGAGGGCCCAGUAGCGAACGGGAGGCAGCAGGGGGGAACAUGACAGAAUAAGCGGAAGCCAGAUGCAGAGGCCCCGGGUGCGGGAAGACGUCCUUCGAGGGAUAAACCAAUGUGUACGUAGACGAGGAGGGAGUGACGGUAAUGGGUAAAGAAGCACCGGCUAACUACGUG